UAGGGAAUCUUCCGCAAUGGACGCAAGUCUGACGGAGCAACGCCGCGUGAGUGAUGAAGGUUUUCGGAUCGUAAAGCUCUGUUGCCAGGGAAGAACGCCUUAGAGAGUAACUGCUCUAAGGGUGACGGUACCUGAGAAGAAAGCCCCGGCUAACUACGUGCCAGCAGCCGCGGUAAUACGUAGGGGGCAAGCGUUGUCCGGAAUUAUUGGGCGUAAAGCGCGCGCAGGCGGUUAUUUAAGUUUGGUGUUUAAGCCCGGGGCUCAACCCCGGAUCGCACUGAAAACUGGAUGACUUGAGUGCGGGAGAGGAAAGUGGAAUUCCACGUGUAGCGGUGAAAUGCGUAGAGAUGUGGAGGAACACCAGUGGCGAAGGCGACUUUCUGGACCGUAACUGACGCUGAGGCGCGAAAGCGUGGGGAGCAAACAGGAUUAGAUACCCCGGUAGUCC
rnacentral:rRNA from 1 species